CUAUUAAUUAUAUUUCUAUAGUAUAACUACAAUAAUUAAUACUAUUUUUAAAAUGUAUUUUAUUAUUAUUAUUUUUUUUAUCUUUGGUCAGUACAAGGUGUCCAUAAGAAGUCUGUUGCAGUGACUUUCAAAAUCUUAACAGGUCAGUAAUCAAUUCAAACGGACACUGUUAAACAUGGACAAGCAGCACAUUAACAAAAGCCUCUUUCACUGAAUGCUAUUCUUUCAUUUUGGUAGUCAUACAAUUUACAGUCACCAUCUACGACCUUGAGUGCAAGUCCACAGACCAACAACAGACGAACUGCUGGAAGUCUCCUGAAGUCUGGUAAACUACAGCACAGCUGGAACCACUGGGCCUGGCCUACCAAAACUACUGUUACAAGCAUUCACAGCUUUAUUAUGAAUAUAAGCCUCAAAUAAAAGUUGAACUAGGGCUUUAAUUUAAAAACAAGAGACAAAAAAAACAAGAAACUGAACGAUUAUUAAAUGUUCCGAUCAAGACCAGACUGCAUUUUUAUCUGAAGUCAUGUGAAGGAAAGCUGUG
rnacentral:lncRNA from 1 species